rnacentral:misc_RNA from 1 species
GAGGAGAAACCACUCUGCCUGUAGAAAUCACGAGUCAGUGGGGGAAAAAGGAGACGAGGUGCCAAGUGCCUUUUCGCCGAUCGGAAUGUCUCGUAUGAGCGUCCCGCCGAAGGCCGGGCAGCGCCCCGGCAUUGCUGUUGAGAAGGCGACCAAUCCAAAGGUAUUUUUCGAUAUCAGCAUUGACAACAAGGCAGCCGGGCGCAUGGUCAUGGAGCUGUACGCCGACACAGUUCCCAAGACGGUCGAGAAUUUCCGGGCUCUCUGCACGGGGGAGAAAGGCAAGGGCCGCAGCGGCAAGCCCCUGCAUUAUAAGAACAGCGUGUUUCACCGCGUCAUCCCGAAUUUCAUGAUCCAAGGCGGCGACUUUACCCGGGGAAACGGCACAGGCGGCGAGUCUAUCUAUGGCACCACCUUCCGGGAUGAGUCGUUUUCUGGGAAAGCCGGCCGGCACACUGGGCUGGGGUGUCUGUCCAUGGCCAACGCAGGUCCCAAUACGAACGGGUCACAGUUUUUCAUUUGCACUGCUGCAACCCCGUGGCUCGACGGCAAGCACGUUGUCUUUGGCCGUGUCAUCGAUGGUCUUGACGUUGUGAAGAAAGUUGAGCGACUGGGAUCGUCUUCCGGGAAGCCGCGCAGUCGCAUCGUGGUGUCUGACUGCGGUGAGUUGGCGGCUGAUAAAUCUAAGGAACAGCGGCAACACCAGCGGCAACAUCAGCCAGCGAAGGCAUCUGCGGACAUGAAGCAUGCCGCGGACAAGAAGGCCGUUGCGGAGAAGAAGUUGAUAGUGUCUUCUCCAGCAGCCGAGGGGCAGAGGGCUCUCUCUGCAAAGAAAGAGGCACCACCUCAGGUUGCCGCACCAAGUGAGACGAAGAAGCGCAUGCGCGAGGUGGACGAGGACGAGGCGCGAAUGACUCGACUUCGUGAGAAAAAGGCAAAAUUGGCCGCCCUGCGCUCCAGCGCUGUGGGGAACGAAUAACUGCGAGCUUUAGCGACUGACCUGAUUAACUAUCUUCUAGGUGAUUCUUGUGUAGCGUCUCCCUUCGAAGUUUUAAUGAAAGAGCAGAGAUCCGGUUAAUAGGAGCCGCGCCUCGAUAAAAGAUAACGAAAAAAGAAUCCAUCAAGCGCCAGAGCGCCUUCCUUGUGGGGUGUUGAAUGAAUUAACGGUAAAGUGGCGGCACGCUGGGCCGAGGAUCUAGCGGGCGACGCUCGGAUGACAGUUGCUGGGCUUCUACCACGUGAUGCCAGAGACGUGGCACCAUUGCACCGGUGACAAACGGAGGGUGCCAGCUCGCACUCUGAGGCUGGCGGUGACGUACCCGCCAUCUACCUCUUUUAGCAUCCUUUCGUUGUUCUCCUUCCUUUAUUUCUACGUUUGCCUUUUUUUCUCGGCUCACCGCACAUUGCACAAAUAUGGUCUUGUUUGUGCUCUUUUUCUUUUCACUUGGUGCGCCGUGUGACUUUCUUGGGAACGUGCACCGCAACUGCGUUGUUUCGGAUCAG